rnacentral:rRNA from 1 species
GAUGAACGCUGGCGGCGUGCCUAAUACAUGCAAGUCGAGCGAACAGAUGAGUAGCUUGCUCCUCUGACGUUAGCGGCGGACGGGUGAGUAACACGUGGAUAACCUACCUAUAAGACUGGGAUAACUUCGGGAAACCGGAGCUAAUACCGGCUAAUAUCUUGAACCGCAUGGUUCAAUAGUGAAAGACGGUUUUGCUGUCACUUAUAGAUGGAUCCGCGCCGCAUUAGCUAGUUGGUAAGGUAACGGCUUACCAAGGCAACGAUGAGUAGCCGACCUGAGAGGGUGAUCGGCCACACUGGAACUGAGACACGGUCCAGACUCCUACGGGAGGCAGCAGUAGGGAAUUUUCCGCAAAGGGCGAAAGCUUGACGGAGCAACGCCGCGUGAGUGAUGAAGGUCUUCGGAUCGUAAAACUCUGUUAUUAGGGAAGAAAAAAUGUGUAAGUAACUAUGCACGUCUUGACGGUACCUAAUCAGAAAGCAACGGCUAACUACGUG